rnacentral:lncRNA from 1 species
AACUUACAUGUGAAGCAGAGCUGGGUGCCAGCUUGUCAUGGCCUGGACUGUUGGCUCUCUCUGUGAUCCCACUGUGUCUGGAAUUGGUGGGUUCUUGGUCUCACUGACUUCAAGAAUGAAGCCGCGGGCCCUCACGCAUUCGACAUUGCUACACAAAUUGAGUCAUGCAGCCCAGCAGCCACCGAGUGCCUACUGAAUUUCCUGUCACCCAGAGCCUGAAUUUCCUGUCACUGGGCAUAACGUUUUAAAAAUAUUAUUGUUUUUUUAAACCCUGGCACUGAACCAGUUUUUAUUCUUCAUCUUGACUUAAUGCCUCUCCAUUCUCUUCUCUCAUCUUCUUCUCCUGGCUCCACUCACCUCCUCUGUAGCCAGGAGCCCACAGUUGGCUAUUUCGGCCGUGUGUCCAGAGUCUGGAAUCCCUCGUCCCCUUGGGCUUGCACUGUGGCCAGUUAGCUUGCCCAUCCUCAGCCUCGGCACCCUCCUUGUUUGUCCCCUCCCUUCCCGGUGCACCCUCCAAAGGUGCACCCCUCUUCUCUGAGGUCAGCCCCACUGCCUGGCCCUCUGUCCCCUCCUCCAGUGCUGUUGGUGACUUUGCUCCAUCAAGCAUCGUCUUUCUCUCUCUCUGUCUCUCUCUCUCAUAUUCUCCCCCCUCAACUAGUUGCUUCCUCUCUGCAAAAGGAAAAAAAUAAAACAAACAUAGUCGAGUUUCCCUUAAAUGAAAGAUGCUUUUUCUCAAUCCUGCUAUUCCCUCAAGCUGUUAUUGUAUCUCAUACCCUUCUGCCACAGUUCUUUAAAGUCUAGUCCAAACGGGUUUCUCCAACUCCCUACAUCCCAGUACCUACUUUAAAUAAAUAAAAAGAUUAAACAUACAA